CGAUUAGCCUGCUAGUUGCGCGAGUUCAGACUCGCAGCAGAUAGCUCAGUAACACGUGGUCAAUUCUACCCUGCAGACACGGACAACCUCGGGAAACUGAGGCUCCUCCGCGAUACCGAUCCCACGCUGGAAUGCCGGGAUCCACAAACGCUCCGGCGCUGCAGGAUGCGGCUGCGGCCGAUUAGGUAGACGGUGGGGUAACGGCCCACCGUGCCGAUAAUCGGUACGGGUUGUGAGAGCAAGAGCCCGGAGACGGAAUCUGAGACAAGAUUCCGGGCCCUACGGGGCGCAGCAGGCGCGAAACCUUUACACUGCACGCAAGUGCGAUAAGGGGACUCCGAGUGCGAGGGCAUAUAGUCCUCGCUUUUGAGAACCGUAAGGUGGUUCUCGAAUAAGAGCUGGGCAAGACCGGUGCCAGCCGCCGCGGUAAUACCGGCAGCUCAAGUGAUGGCCAAUCUUAUUGGGCCUAAAGCGUCCGUAGCUGGCCGUGAAAGUUCGUCGGGAAAUCCAUCCGCUCAACGGAUGGGCGUCCGGCGAAAACUUCACGGCUUGGGACCGGAAGGCUCGAGGGGUACGUCCGGGGUAGGAGUGAAAUCCUGUAAUCCUGGACGGACCGCCGAUGGCGAAAGCACCUCGAGAAGACGGAUCCGACAGUGAGGGACGAAAGCUAGGGUCUCGAACCGGAUUAGAUACCCGGGUAGUCCUAGCCGUAAACGAUGUUCACUAGGUGUGGCACACGCUACGAGCCUGUGCUGUGCCGUAGGGAAGCCGAGAAGUGAAACCCCCUGGGAAGUACGUCCGCAAGAUGAAACUUAAAGGAAUUGGCG
rnacentral:rRNA from 1 species